ACAGAUACCAAUGAGAGGUAUUUGAAGACCAUUGAUGAGAAGGAAAAGCAAUAUAAAGAAUAUUUAAAUACAUAUCUCGAGACCAGUAAUAAACUUGCUAGUGAAAAAGUAAAAUUGGAAGAGCUUAUAAAAAAGAGUCAAGGUGACUACCAAGAGUGUGUGAAAAGAGCUGUUAAAGCAGAGAUAUUGGUACUCAAAAACUGGAAGGAAACUCAAGUAUGCAAGCUAAAUGGCAUAGCUGCCA
rnacentral:lncRNA from 14 species